rnacentral:rRNA from 1 species
AGAGUUUGAUCCUGGCUCAGAUUGAACGCUGGCGGCAGGCCUAACACAUGCAAGUCGAGCGGUAGCACAGAGAGCUUGCUCUCGGGUGACGAGCGGCGGACGGGUGAGUAAUGUCUGGGAAACUGCCUGAUGGAGGGGGAUAACUACUGGAAACGGUAGCUAAUACCGCAUAACGUCGCAAGACCAAAGUGGGGGACCUUCGGGCCUCAUGCCAUCAGAUGUGCCCAGAUGGGAUUAGCUAGUUGGUGGGGUAAUGGCUCACCUAGGCGACGAUCCCUAGCUGGUCUGAGAGGAUGACCAGCCACACUGGAACUGAGACACGGUCCAGACUCCUACGGGAGGCAGCAGUGGGGAAUAUUGCACAAUGGGCGCAAGCCUGAUGCAGCCAUGCCGCGUGUAUGAAGAAGGCCUUCGGGUUGUAAAGUACUUUCAGCGAGGAGGAAGGCGUUAAGGUUAAUAACCUUGGCGAUUGACGUUACUCGCAGAAGAAGCACCGGCUAACUCCGUGCCAGCAGCCGCGGUAA